UCUGAUGGAUCACGUGGUGUGUAAUCCACCAGCGCUGCUGCGCUCUGUAACUAGGCAACCAGCCUUAUAUAAAAUCAUUUUGUAACACAAGGAUCGCAGACCAGAGCAGAAGACCCGUGGAAGGCAGCGGAGGCAGGUGGCGGUGACAUUUCCCAUUCAGGACCCUUACAUUAUGUCGGGACGGAUGUUGAGCUUGAACCUGCUGUUGUGGUGGCGGACGGACACGCUGCUCUGGAUGCUGUAGCUGGAUCGGGUCUCCUUCUUGUACGCGG